AUACAACUUUCAGCAACGGAUCUCUUGGCUCUCGCAUCGAUGAAGAACGCAGCGAAAUGCGAUAAGUAAUGUGAAUUGCAGAAUUCAGUGAAUCAUCGAAUCUUUGAACGCACCUUGCGCCCCUUGGCUAUUCCGAAGGGCAUGCCUGUUUGAGUAUC
rnacentral:rRNA from 1 species